rnacentral:rRNA from 1 species
UACGUAGGGGGCAAGCGUUGUCCGGAAUCACUGGGCGUAAAGGGCGCGUAGGCGGCUCAUGAAGGCUGUGGUGAAAGUCCGGGGCUCAACCUCGGAUCGGCCCGUGGCGACUCGUGGGCUGGAGCACUGUAGAGGCGGGUGGAAUUCCGGGUGUAGCGGUCGGAAUGCGUAGAGAUCCGGAAGAACAGCCAGUGGCGGAAGGCGG